rnacentral:misc_RNA from 1 species
AAUUUGAGAUCGAGCUUAUCGAACCCGAACCGAGCUUGACCUUAUCUAGCUUGUGUUCGAGCUCGUUUUAAUGAAUUUAUUGAGCUUGACAAAAGUUCGAGUUUGACUCAUUAAUAUAAUAAACGAACUUUAUUAUAGCUGAACUCGAGCCUUAAUGUUAACGCUCGAACCGAGCUCGAGCUUGAACUCAAGCUCAAGCCUGGAUCAAUAUUAACGAACCAAACUUGAACAAGCCAAAACUCGGCUCGGCUCGGUUUAUUUACACCCCUAUGUCUGGUAUUAGUUUAGUGUUGUGUAGGCAAUUUAAGUACCUUAAAUUAUCCGCUUCUCUUGGUAUUAGGAUUUAAUUGUUUUUAUAGCAGGAAGCUUGAAGUAAAGUGUUUAUGAUACCAAUUGCUUGGCUCAUGUAUUGAAUGGAUUAGUUUUGUAUAUGACUUAUCUAUUGAAUGGAUUAACUUUGUGUAGGAUUAGUGUUUACAAAUACCAAGCAUAGUUUUUUAAAAAACAGGUUAGUCUUGAUACUGUUAUUGUAGGGUGUUUACAGAUGCCAAUAAUAGUUUCUAGAAACAGGUGAGUCUUAUUCUGUUAUUGUGGACAUUGUAGCUUGGAAAGUAGCCAGUUACUUCCUAAUUAGAGUAUAUUACUUAGUCAUUCUGUUAUUUAAACUAUCUCUGAGUAAAUUUAAAUCAUUUUUUAACAGCUUGGUAGGAUGUCAUUGUUUUCAUUUGGUGUUUGUACCCAUCUAAAAUUACAUUGAACUGUGAUGUCCUGCCCUCAAUUUAGGUUUAGAAAUAGGUGGUGAGAUG